rnacentral:tRNA from 1 species
GGGCGUGUAGCUCAGUUGGGAGAGCGUCGCCCUUACAAGGCGAAUGUCGGGAGUUCGAGCCUCUCCACGCCCA